rnacentral:lncRNA from 1 species
GGGGGAAAAAAAAUUAUAACCAUGAAAAAAAUAAAUAAACAAUCAAACAAGGAUCAAUUAGGAGACUCAAUUGGAAGAACCAAGCAGGGGCUUCCAUGCCAACUUCUAUGAUGUUUUUAAUGGUGGACAUUUUAUAGUGCAAUUUAUGAUAUUUUCUAUGUUAGGAAAAACCUUGCCUAUAUGUCAUUACAUGUCAUUUUUUCUACUUAGUGACUUGACCACUAUAUUAUACUUUUGAUUCUAAUUGAGAUUGUGAAGAAUUACUGCCUCACUUUCUUUGAUACUAAUUUUCUAAAGAAUAAUA